rnacentral:rRNA from 1 species
GUUGGCGGGGUAACGGCCCACCAAGGCAACGAUCAGUAGGGGUUCUGAGAGGAAGGUCCCCCACAUUGGAACUGAGACACGGUCCAAACUCCUACGGGAGGCAGCAGUGAGGAAUAUUGGUCAAUGGGCGAGAGCCUGAACCAGCCAAGUAGCGUGCAGGAAGACGGCCCUAUGGGUUGUAAACUGCUUUUAUAAGGGAAUAAAGUUAGUCUCGUGAGACUUUUUGCAUGUACCUUAUGAAUAAGGACCGGCUAAUUCCGUGCCAGCAGCCGCGGUAAUACGGAAGGUCCGGGCGUUAUCCGGAUUUAUUGGGUUUAAAGGGAGCGUAGGCCGGAGAUUAAGCGUGUUGUGAAAUGUAGACGCUCAACGUCUGCACUGCAGCGCGAACUGGUUUCCUUGAGUACGCACAAAGUGGGCGGAAUUCGUGGUGUAGCGGUGAAAUGCUUAGAUAUCACGAAGAACUCCGAUUGCGAAGGCAGCUCACUGGAGCGCAACUGACGCUGAAGCUCGAAAGUGCGGGUAUCGAACAGGAUUAGAUACCCUGGUAGUCCGCACGGUAAACGAUGGAUGCCCGCUGUUGGUCUGAACAGGUCAGCGGCCAAGCGAAAGCAUUAAGCAUCCCACCUGGGGAGUACGCCGGCAACGGUGAAACUCAAAGGAAUUGACGGGGGCCCGCACAAGCGGAGGAACAUGUGGUUUAAUUCGAUGAUACGCGAGGAACCUUACCCGGGCUUGAAUUGCAGAGGAAGGAUUUGGAGACAAUGACGCCCUUCGGGGUCUCUGUGAAGGUGCUGCAUGGUUGUCGUCAGCUCGUGCCGUGAGGUGUCGGCUUAAGUGCCAUAACGAGCGCAACCCCUCUCCUUAGUUGCCAUCAGGUUAAGCUGGGCACUCUGGGGACACUGCCACCGUAAGGUGUGAGGAAGGUGGGGAUGACGUCAAAUCAGCACGGCCCUUACGUCCGGGGCUACACACGUGUUACAAUGGCAGGUACAGAGAGACGGUUGUACGUAAGUACGAUCAAAUCCUUAAAGCCUGUCUCAGUUCGGACUGGGGUCUGCAACCCGACCCCACGAAGCUGGAUUCGCUAGUAAUCGCGCAUCAGCCAUGGCGCGGUGAAUACGUUCCCGGGCCUUGUACACACCGCCCGUCAAGCCAUGAAAGCCGGGGGCGCCUAAAGUCCGUGACCGUAAGGAGCGGCCUAGGGCGAAACUGGUAAUUGGGGCUAAGUCGUAACAAGGUA